rnacentral:rRNA from 1 species
UACGAGGGGGGCGAGCGUUGUUCGGAAUUAUUGGGCGUAAAGGGUGCGUAGGCGGUUUGGUAAGUCUUGUGUGAAAUCUACAGGCUCAACUUGUAGUCUGCACGAGAAACUGCCGGGCUUGAGUGUGGGAGAGGUGAGUGGAAUUCCUGGUGUAGCGGUGAAAUGCGUAGAUAUCAGGAGGAACACCUGUGGCGAAAGCGGCUCACUGGACCAUAACUGACGCUGAUGAGCGAAAGCGUGGGGAGCGAACAGG